rnacentral:rRNA from 1 species
UACGUAGGGUGCGAGCGUUGUCCGGAAUUAUUGGGCGUAAAGAGCUCGUAGGCGGUGUGUCGCGUCGGCCGUCGAAAACCUGUGGCUUAACUAUGGGCUUGCGGUCGAUACGGGCAUCACUGGAGUUCGGCAGGGGAGACUGGAAUUCCUGGUGUAGCGGUGAAAUGCGCAGAUAUCAGGAGGAACACCGGUGGCGAAGG